rnacentral:lncRNA from 1 species
UCACGUCCAAAAAUUUCGUUUGUAAAACAUUACCUUGAAAGCAUUAAUGAUUAAAACAUUGUUUAAUUAAACCAUUUCACAUCGAAAACCCAAUUUGAAAUCCACAACAUGUAAACAAUCAAAACAUCAGAGUAUCAAUCCCAGAAUAAGCUCAUAACCGCGGAAACAAGAGAGUGUGUGUAUGUGUGUGAUAUGCUGCUACCGCGCCGUCUCCUUUACCCUAGCUGAGGAGGUACCUGAAACCAAAACUGAAAAACGUAAGCACAAAGCUUAGUGAGUUCCCCCAUCGUACGACAUACCAUACAAACACAUAACAUACAUACUGCCAGGCUAUUCUGGGGUGUCUGUCUACCUGGUACGGCCAUUCUAGGGUGCCGACUACCCGUGCGGCCAUUCUGGGGUGCCGUCCUACCCGUGUCAAGCCAUUCUGGGGCGCUGACCUACCCAUGUCGAGCCAUUCUGGGGUGCUGACUACCCUUCGGUCCUAACAACCGAACCUCGGGGACUAUUUCACCCCUACUACUACUAUCACAUUAACACAUAACAUAAACAUAUUAUCAGACAUAUCUGGGGUGUCUGAACUACCCUUCGGUCCUAACAACCGAACCCGGGGACUGGUCCCCUCCUACCACCUCUAUCGCAUAAACAUAACAAGCCAUCAUGCAACACAUCAUCACAUACUGUCAGACGUAUCUAGGGUGUCUGACUGCCCUGCGGUCCUAACAACCGAACUCUACUACUUUCACAUACAACAUAUCAUGCUAGCACAUAACAUAUCAGGUAGUAGCAAUCCUAGAUGAUAUCACAAAGACAAUCAUCUAUCAUACGAACCCUACUGGUGGGCCGGCAUUGUGGCCGUAGACCCACCGCUGGAAGGUAACUCACCUCGAAGUAGCUGCUGAUCUGAUCGGGAACUGACUGUCUACUACUGCUGCUGCUGCUCCGGAAAUCCUCCGGUUGCAAUUCCCACAACAUACUCAAUCAAACACUGCUAACUGUCCUUUGGGUAAAAUGACCAUUUUACCCCUGAUCAUGUCAUAAGUCAAAGUCAGAGUCAACUUUCAGUUGACCCGACUCGCCGAGUUGGCUCUCCAACUCGCCGAGUCCCUAUCCAAUCGAUUGUCCUGGAUCCCGUCCCUACUCGUCGAGUUAGGCGUUGACUCGACGAGUUCUUCUUCUAAACUGAGGUUCAAGUCCUUCAUCCUACUCGCCGAGUUGUAUGAACAACUCGCCGAGUUCAUCUUCAUCCGAAGAACACUUUAUGCUGUGACUCGCCGAGUUGUAUGAACAACUUGCCGAGUCUGUUCUUGAUCUAAGGAGAUUGCCUUGAACUCGCCGAGUCAGGGCAUGGACUCGCCGAGUUCCUCCAUGGUUGAGUUUGGCUUCCAGCUCACUGAGUCACACCCCGUGACUCACUACUCGCACUCGACACAAUGAAAAGGGGACAACUCGGAGACUCGCGAGCAAACUCGCCGAGUCGUAUAAAUGACUCGCCGAGUCAUCGCCAUGCAAUCACUAUAUAUGCAAUUUUGCUCGAUUCCAGUCUAUGCCAUUCACAGAUCUGGGUUCCUAGAACAUGAAUGACACGUAAAGUUUCCAACUUUACGUGUAGAUACUCACCAAUGAGGGAUUUAGGGCUCAAAAUGCCUCAAAACGGUAGAUCUAGGGUGAAGAAGCAACAUGGGUCCAUAAAGGUAACGGAUCUGAGCUCCUGGAGCUCAAUCUUGCCUAGAUCUAAAGGCCAAUCAACUUAUUACAACUUAUAUUGCACAUACAAGUUUGGGGAAGGGCUCAAGAAAGACUUAAUCGAGCAAUAAGCAUAAAAACAGAGGGAAAACGGGUUAUACCUCAAAGAAAUCACUGAGAGAACACUAAGAUGCUUGGUUUCCUUCCCUUCCUCUUGAUCUACUCCACUUCCUUCUCAAAAUCCUUCAAGAACACACAAAAUGCUUCAAACUCUCAAGGAAAUAAGCUUUGGAACGAGGGUUGGGAGCUCUGAGGUGAAUGGGGGCUGGCUUGGGGCGGACAUGAGGUUUAAAUAGGGUGCAAACCCCUGAAACCUAGGGUUUCAUCCAACAGCGGUGACUCGCCGAGCCCAGGAUAUGGACUCGCCGAGUCGCCAACUUAAACAUAUCCCGGGUCCCGUAUCUACUCGGCGAGUCGGACCUAUGACUCGCCGAGUCCCAGGCUAAAAAAAAAAGAAUACUCAAAUAAGAUUUACGUACCAGGAACCAGGUGCUACAAACAUAGUCCUGUAAACCUCUAGACUACGGGCCAAAACUCGUGUGUGUUGAUUUAUAUGAUCUUGAACAUUCUGAAAGACGUAUAUGAAUAUUUAAAAACAUAAACAAACUCCACAAAAUUACUCCGUUUUUCUUUGUAGGUUUUUCUCAUAGCAUUAAAUUAACUACACAAUUCAAAACAAGUAAAGUUAAAACAGAAACUAUAAUUUCUCUGUUCAUGAAACAAAUUACUUACAAGAACUCAGUCCAAUUGUUGGAGGCAUGACUCACUAUUCGAUGGUGUGGAAGAGUAUAGUAAUGCAGCUCCUCGAUUAUCUUCUUAAUCUAUCAGUUGUUUAGGAAAAUAGAUGAUCAGAAAAUGAUAAACAUAUUUAGUAUCUAAAACUAAUCGAGUGGUGGUAGCGGGAAAACCUCACAAACAUCAUCUAUAUCCAUUAAAUUUAAAGCCUCUGGCCUGUAAAUGUUGAUCUGGAGUUUGCUGCCCGAACAUAUCUUUAACAAAAUUCUGCAAUCCGAAAUGUGAUGAUAAUAAAAAGAAUUAGUUAGUAAUUGAAUAUAAUGACUCAAUGAACCUCACAUAACCAAAUGAGUUUAGGAAAAACUGAUCCAAAGUCAAAAGAUAGUUCCUGUUGAGUUUCUCUAACACUAAUCGAGUUAAAAAAAAAAAAAAAAAAAAAAAAAAAAAAAAAUCCCAAAAAAAUNAAAUAUCGGUUCUAAUGUGUCCCCCAAUCCAGUAUAGAUUAGAAACAUAAAUUAUUGGGGAAUUCGAAAUAGGGUUAUAAAAAGUCUGGAUCACAAACAGGAAUCGUGUAAACACUUUCCUUGUUUGAUAUUUCGACCCUAUAUGCCUUGGGCAUCACGAAAUCCAAACUAGGAUAAUUCUUGAAGCAACAAUUCUGAUUUUAGGCACAAAAUCAGAAUCAAUUUUGAUAAGAUGAAGAAGAAGAAGAAGAACCGUCUAUUGUUUUCCUCUGUGUUUCAAUAUAUAUAUAUAUGUAGUGUACCGUACCAACUAUAGUUGGUAGUGAAAUUUAGCUACCAUUACCGUACCAACUAUACUUGGUACCAACUUGUUGGCUACCAACAAUUUUGGUUGGUACAUAUUUGGUAUUGGUAUAUACCAAAAACUCAAACUAAUAUGAAUUUGAAGAGUUUAAUCAUUGAUAAUUUAUAUAAGUCUUCAAAUUAUAAUCAUCACCCGUGGUUCGGAAGUUUUCCGAACUUGAAAACAAAAUAAGCAAAAAUUAGGCUGGGUGUUUGGUAUUAUAUUUUCCUGAACUACCUCCUUAUACACCUUCUGUUGCCAUAGCCCUUUGUAAACUACAAAUCAACAAAUCACACAAACAUUAAAUUUAACCAUUAAAUAUUUACGGUAAUGGUGAUGUAAGAAUAUUUCCAAAAAAAACCAUUACAAACAAAAUUACCAGAAAAUAUUUACUAUUAAUCACAAUUUCAUGACAAAAAUGCAAAUGCUCUAAAACCUUCAAAUGCAUUACCAUUAUUUUACAGUAAAGUAAAAGGAACCAAACUUACAAAAGAGAUUAUUGUUUUAAAAAAAUUACACAAUCUUAUAAUUAAGAAUGCAACUUGUUAGAAUAAAUAAGAAACUUAGAUGAAAUAAAUCAUAAUGAAAUAUAAGUACCGUAAUCUUGCCUUCAAUAUGAAAACUUCAAGACUUUAUGGAUGAAAAAGAGGUUUAUAUGAGUGAUUCAAUGCAUAAACAAACCAAUAU